GUGUGUAUGGUGCAGUGGUUUGAGUGUUAGACUAGGACUCUGCAAGACCAAAGUUCGAAUCUCUGCUUGGCCA